rnacentral:SRP_RNA from 2 species
GCCAGGCGUGGUGGCACAUGCCUGUAAUCCCAGCUACUUGGGAGGCUGAGGCAGGAGAAUUGCUUGAACCUGGGAGGCAGAGGUUGCAGUGAGCCAAGAUUGCGCCACUGCACUCCAGCCUGGGUGACAGAGCAAGACUCUGUCUCAA